AUGAUUGUGGCUCAGUGGUAAAGCACUCGCCUUGCAUGUGUGAGAUACUGGGUUCAAUUCUCAGCACUACAUA
rfam:Ictidomys tridecemlineatus contig024906, whole genome shotgun sequence.